GGUCAGGUGACCGGGGUCACAUGAGCGGUGGUCAUGUGACUUUCUGAGGUUAUUUUUCAUUCUGAGAUUUUAAAUCGGCGGCAGCACCGCAAAGCGACAGACAGGUGAACAGGAGACAAACAGACAGGAGACAGGAGACAGACAGGAGACAGACAGGUGAACAGGAGACAGACAGGAGACAGGAGACAGAUGCAGCGGCUGGUGUUGUGUGUCUUCCUGUCCUCCCUGCUGGGGGGGGAUGGCAGGGGGGGCGUGGCCGCGGCUCCGGCUGCAGACGAGGUGACCUACCUGCCCGGUCUGCAGAAACAGCCAAGUUUCCGACAUUACUCGGGGUACCUGAACGUAGCUGACGGAAAACACCU